GAAAUCUACGUCUGGAAAAGGUUGUUGCUGGCCUUUGGGGUAUGUGCACGCCUUGAUCGGAUGUUUUCGUCCUCCUUCACACCUGUGCACCAACUGUAGCUAGGGAUGAUCACGGAGCCGUCGGUUCUGAAUGCCCUCGCUGCGAAUGUUUUUACACCCUAUAAUAAAGUUUUUUGGAAUGUUUUGCCUGCGCGUAACAGCGCGAAUGAAAUACAACUUUCAGCAACGGAUCUCUUGGCUCU
rnacentral:misc_RNA from 1 species